UCGAGCCGUACGAGGAGAAAACUUCUUAUACGGUUCUGGGGGGGGUAUUGUUAAUCUACAUCUAUCCCAAU
rfam:Rhizobium yanglingense strain CCBAT 01603 genomic scaffold C231, whole genome shotgun sequence.